UACGUAGGUGGCGAGCGUUGUCCGGAAUUACUGGGCGUAAAGGAUGCGUAGGCGGAUGUUUAAGUCAGAUGUGAAAUCCCCGGGCUCAACCCGGGAAUAGCAUUGAAACUGGAUAUCUAGAGUGCAGGAGAGGAAAGCGGAAUUCCUAGUGUAGCGGUGAAAUGCGUAGAUAUUAGGAAGAACACCAGUGGCGAAGGCGCUUUCUGGACUGUAACUGACGCUGAGGCAUGAAAGCGUGGGGAGCAAACAGGAUUAAGAA
rnacentral:rRNA from 1 species